AUUGAACGCUGGCGGCAGGCCUAACACAUGCAAGUCGAGCGGUAGAGAGGAGCUUGCUUCUCUUGAGAGCGGCGGACGGGUGAGUAAUGCCUAGGAAUCUGCCUGGUAGUGGGGGAUAGCGGUCGGAAACGGACGCUAAUACCGCAUACGUCCUACGGGAGAAAGUGGGGGAUCUUCGGACCUCACGCUAUCAGAUGAGCCUAGGUCGGAUUAGCUAGUUGGUGAGGUAAAGGCUCACCAAGGCGACGAUCCGUAACUGGUCUGAGAGGAUGAUCAGUCACACUGGAACUGAGACACGGUCCAGACUCCUACGGGAGGCAGCAGUGGGGAAUAUUGGACAAUGGGCGCAAGCCUGAUCCAGCCAUGCCGCGUGUGUGAAGAAGGUCUUCGGAUUGUAAAGCACUUUAAGUUGGGAGGAAGGUCAGUAGCUUAAUACGUUGCUGAUUUGACGUUACCGACAGAAUAAGCACCGGCUAACUCUGUGCCAGCCGCCGCUGUAAUAC
rnacentral:rRNA from 1 species